rnacentral:rRNA from 1 species
UACGUAGGGGGCAAGCGUUGUCCGGAAUUAUUGGGCGUAAAGAGCGCGUAGGCGGUCCGGUAAGUCGGUUGUGAAAGUCGGGGGCUCAACCCUCGGAUGCCGGUGGAUACUGUCGGGCUAGAGUACGGAAGAGGCGAGUGGAAUUCCUGGUGUAGCGGUGAAAUGCGCAGAUAUCAGGAGGAACACCGAUUGCGAAGGCAGCUCGCUGGGACGUUACUGACGCUGAGACGCGAAAGCGUGGGGAGCAAACAGG